UACGUAGGGGGCAAGCGUUGUCCGGAUUUAUUGGGCGUAAAGAGCGUGUAGGCGGCUAGGUAGGUCCGUUGUGAAAACUCGAGGCUCAACCUCGAGACGUCGAUGGAAACCAUCUAGCUAGAGUCCGGAAGAGGAGAGUGGAAUUCCCGGUGUAGCGGUGAAAUGCGCAGAUAUCGGGAGGAACACCAGUAGCGAAGGCGGCACUCUGGGCCGGUACUGACGCUGAGGAGCGAAAGCGUGGGGAGCAAACAGG
rnacentral:rRNA from 1 species